UAAAAUACGAAACUGAUUUUAUCAAAUCGAUACUAAUCAUUUCUUCUUAUAGCUUGCAUUAUAUAUUAUUAUAUAUUUAAAUUCAUAUCGAGGUGUUGACCUCAAUGCGAUAAUAAUAAGUGGAUUAAGAAGUCAAUGAGCAAUAUACUUGCGCGUAAACUAUAAUCGUAUAAAUAAUAAUCGUGGAUAAGAAGUAAUACAAACAUUUGUUAAUUUUUUUCUAUCACAGAUGCAUUUUAUUUUUCACACUGGUUUAUUGUUAAAUUAUAAUAUAAUUGUGUUGAUAAAAUGCUCUCUAAAAUACAACAACCCAAAAUCGCGAUAUAUAAUUUCUACGAGAAAUUUUACAAUGUAAACAGCUACGCACCCGCUAUUUCCUAUCUUUUCUUGUUUUGUGAUCGAUGGAAACCUUAAUUCUACAUUUGUAUGUGUGUCCACGGGUGGGUCGGGGAUGCGAUUCAUGUCCAGUAUUUCAUUACACUGUAAUUUAUGUAUAUCACUUUUAUUGUUAAUAAAUAAUAUGCAGUUACAGAUUGUGUUUGUGCAAAGUACCGUUGUUUCCUCCAUUUUUUCUGUUUCCUGCGGAAUCGUAUCGACUAUUAAACUUAAUUAUAGUAAUAUUUUGUCAUAUUUUACAGAAACAUUUUGUUUAGUGCAGAGAUAAAAAUACAUUGUACACACCCGCACAAACAAUAUAUGCACGUGCGUGCGUGUAAAUGUAUUAGCGAAUAAAACAUGCGUAUUUGGCAAAAGAUGAUUUAUUAUCCCGAUUUUUAUUAAUAGAUUUUAAAUUCCAAAUUGUAAAAAAUUUUAAAUAUUGUCACUUGUGGUACUUAAACUAUGCUUAAUGUUUGUUUGUCCAAUAUAUCUAAGAUUGUGUAUGUUUUAUGCAAAAGCUUUGGGGUAAGUUAUAGUCUUUUCAUGUUUUUAAUAAAGCUUUUCUAUAUUGACAUUACGAUUUACCUACCUAUAUCAAUUAAGUGUUCGUGAAAUAAAUAAUUCUUUGUCGCAUGGCAAUUUGUAAUUUAAAUUAAGGUAAAUAUUCACAUUAGGUCAACUCCUUCAAAAGUCAAUGACCUUGACAACAUAUAUCAAGGUCAUUGACUUUUGAAGGGAUUGAUCUAAUGUGAAUAUUUACCUAAAUUAAUAUUGCAAAAUUAUUUUACAGAUAACGUUAAUGCUUAUAAUGGAGCCACGGGUAACAGCAGCAGGUCGAGUGUUUCCUCCAUCGAAAGUACCUCUGAAUCGCAUGGAAAGCUCAACAUACAGCAAAGCAUCGUGGAAGUGCAUUUGCCACCUCGCCAUAUAAUACCAGAUGUAAUAGCCGAUAAACCGAUGUCACCGUCACCGCUUUCGCCAGCACUAUCUGCAUCAAUAUUUACACCGACAUCAAUACUAACUGUGUGAAAAUCGGCACCAAUACUUUUUACCCUGAAAUCAACAUCAGCAUAUCUAUACCGUGAAAUCAACCUGAAAUCAACAUCAGCUAUCUAUACCGAAAUCAGCACCCGCAUCACCUGCAUUAGCUUCAUCGAAGAUACCUUCAACGCCUUCAUCAUCACCUCCACCACCACCGACGCCAAUAGGACCUAUUCCGCCGCUCCAAACUCAAAAAUCUGCGCCCUCGACAUUUUCCACAUCCAAUAAAACGGAAGUUUACAAAAGUAUUAAAUUCUUUAAUGGCACUUGCGGUCAAGAAGAAGUUCAAAAAAAGCUCAAGUUUGUCUUAACGAUGUUCCGAGAGAAGAAAGCGAAUUCUUCUCUCAGCAAUGAUAUGCGUGAGAUUUGAGUGAAUCAAUACUCGACCUCUCGCGAAAUUCAAACUUGGUUGGCGGCCAAAGGGUUCUCGGAGAAAAUUUGCAAACAAUUGGAAAAUAUGAACGGCAUGGAAUUAUUUAAUUUAUCGCGGCGACGA